AUGAACGCUAGCGACAGGCUUAACACAUGCAAGUCGAGGGGCAGCACAGGUAGCAAUACCGGGUGGCGACCGGCGCACGGGUGAGUAACGCGUAUGCAACUUGCCUAUCAGAGGGGGAUAACCCGGCGAAAGUCGGACUAAUACCGCAUGAAGCAGGGGCCCCGCAUGGGGAUAUUUGCUAAAGAUUCAUCGCUGAUAGAUAGGCAUGCGUUCCAUUAGGCAGUUGGCGGGGUAACGGCCCACCAAACCGACGAUGGAUAGGGGUUCUGAGAGGAAGGUCCCCCACAUUGGUACUGAGACACGGACCAAACUCCUACGGGAGGCAGCAGUGAGGAAUAUUGGUCAAUGGGCGUAAGCCUGAACCAGCCAAGUCGCGUGAGGGAUGAAGGUUCUAUGGAUCGUAAACCUCUUUUAUAAGGGAAUAAAGUGCGGGACGUGUCCCGUUUUGUAUGUACCUUAUGAAUAAGGAUCGGCUAACUCCGUGCCAGCAGCCGCGGUAAUACGGAGGAUCCGAGCGUUAUCCGGAUUUAUUGGGUUUAAAGGGUGCGUAGGCGGCCUUUUAAGUCAGCGGUGAAAGUCUGUGGCUCAACCAUAGAAUUGCCGUUGAAACUGGGGGGCUUGAGUAUGUUUGAGGCAGGCGGAAUGCGUGGUGUAGCGGUGAAAUGCAUAGAUAUCACGCAGAACCCCGAUUGCGAAGGCAGCCUGCCAAGCCAUGACUGACGCUGAUGCACGAAAGCGUGGGGAUCAAACAGGAUUAGAUACCCUGGUAGUCCACGCAGUAAACGAUGAUCACUAGCUGUUUGCGAUACACAGUAAGCGGCACAGCGAAAGCGUUAAGUGAUCCACCUGGGGAGUACGCCGGCAACGGUGAAACUCAAAGGAAUUGACGGGGGCCCGCACAAGCGGAGGAACAUGUGGUUUAAUUCGAUGAUACGCGAGGAACCUUACCCGGGUUUGAACGCAUUCGGACCGAGGUGGAAACACCUUUUCUAGCAAUAGCCGUUUGCGAGGUGCUGCAUGGUUGUCGUCAGCUCGUGCCGUGAGGUGUCGGCUUAAGUGCCAUAACGAGCGCAACCCUUGCCACUAGUUACUAACAGGUAAAGCUGAGGACUCUGGUGGGACUGCCAGCGUAAGCUGCGAGGAAGGCGGGGAUGACGUCAAAUCAGCACGGCCCUUACAUCCGGGGCGACACACGUGUUACAAUGGCGUGGACAAAGGGAGGCCACCUGGCGACAGGGAGCGAAUCCCCAAACCACGUCUCAGUUCGGAUCGGAGUCUGCAACCCGACUCCGUGAAGCUGGAUUCGCUAGUAAUCGCGCAUCAGCCAUGGCGCGGUGAAUACGUUCCCGGGCCUUGUACACACCGCCCGUCAAGCCAUGGGAGCCGGGGGUACCUGAAGUCCGUAACCGCGAGGAUCGGCCUAGGGUAAAACUGGUGACUGGGGCU
rnacentral:rRNA from 1 species